rnacentral:piRNA from 1 species
UGCCUGUGGACAGAUUUGGCUACUUUGU